rnacentral:rRNA from 1 species
AUUGAACGCUGGUGGCAUGCCUUACACAUGCAAGUCGAACGGUAACAGGUUAAGCUGACGAGUGGCGAACGGGUGAGUAAUAUAUCGGAACGUGCCCAGUCGUGGGGGAUAACUGCUCGAAAGAGCAGCUAAUACCGCAUACGACCUGAGGGCGAAAGCGGGGGAUCGCAAGACCUCGCGCGAUUGGAGCGGCCGAUAUCAGAUUAGGUAGUUGGUGGGGUAAAGGCCCACCAAGCCAACGAUCUGUAGCUGGUCUGAGAGGACGACCAGCCACACUGGGACUGGGAAACGGCCCAGACUCCUACGGGAGGCAGCAGUGGGGAAUUUUGGACAAUGGGCGCAAGCCUGAUCCAGCCAUGCCGCGUGCGGGAAGAAGGCCUUCGGGUUGUAAACCGCUUUUGUCAGGGAAGAAAAGGUUCUGGUUAAUACCUGGGACUCAUGACGGUACCUGAAGAAUAAGCACCGGCUAACUACGUGCCAGCCGCCGCCGUAA